CAAUAGCGUAUAUUAAAGUUGUUGCGGUUAAAAAGCUCGUAGUUGGAUUUCUGCCGAGGACGACCGGUCCGCCCUCUGGGUGAGUAUCUGGCUCGGCCUGGGCAUCUUCUUGGAGAACGUAGCUGCACUUGACUGUGUGGUGCGGUAUCCAGGACUUUUACUUUGAGGAAAUUAGAGUGUUUCAAGCAGGCUUACGCCUUGAAUACAUUAGCAUGGAAUAAUAAGAUAGGACCUCGGUUCUAUUUUGUUGGUUUCUAGAGCUGAGGUAAUGAUUAAUAGGGAUAGUUGGGGGCAUUCGUAUUUAACUGUCAGAGGUGAAAUUCUUGGAUUUGUUAAAGACGGGCUACUGCGAAAGCAUUUGCCAAGGAUGUUUUCAUUG
rnacentral:rRNA from 1 species